rnacentral:rRNA from 1 species
GUUUGAUCCUGGCUCAGAACGAACGCUGGCGGCAGGCCUAACACAUGCAAGUCGAGCGAACCCUUCGGGGUUAGCGGCGGACGGGUUAGUAACGCGUGGGAAUAUACCCUUUGGUACGGAAUAGCCUCGGGAAACUGAGAGUAAUACCGUAUGUGCCCUUCGGGGGAAAGAUUUAUCGCCAAAGGAUUAGCCCGCGUUGGAUUAGAUAGUUGGUGGGGUAAUGGCCUACCAAGUCUACGAUCCAUAGCUGGUUUGAGAGGAUGAUCAGCAACACUGGGACUGAGACACGGCCCAGACUCCUACGGGAGGCAGCAGUGGGGAAUCUUAGACAAUGGGCGCAAGCCUGAUCUAGCCAUGCCGCGUGGACGAUGAAGGCCUUAGGGUUGUAAAGUCCUUUCAGAUGGGAAGAUAAUGACGGUACCAUCAGAAGAAGCCCCGGCUAACUCCCGUG